rnacentral:rRNA from 1 species
GAGUUUGAUCAUGGCUCAGAGCGAACGCUGGCGGCAGGCCUAACACAUGCAAGUCGAGCGCGUGUAGCAAUACACGAGCGGCAGACGGGAGAGUAACACGUGGGAACGCGCCCUUCGGUUCGGAAUAACUCAGGGAAACUUGAGCUAAUACCGGAUACGCCCUUACGGGGAAAGAUUUAUUGCCGAAGGAACGGCCCGCGUCCGAUUAGCUAGUUGGUGAGGUAACGGCUCACCAAGGCGACGAUCGGUAGCUGGUCUGAGAGGAUGACCAGCCUCACUGGGACUGAGACACGGCCCAGACUCCUACGGGAGGCAGCAGUGGGGAAUAUUGGACAAUGGGCGCAAGCCUGAUCCAGCCAUGCCGCGUGGAUGAUGAAGGCCCUAGGGUUGUAAAGUCCUUUUAACGGGGAAGAUAAUGACGGUACCCGUAGAAUAAGCCCCGGCUAACUUCGUGCCAGCAGCCGCGGUAAU